ensembl:lncRNA
GCUCUAGAACUGGGAGUACUCAUCAGUCAGGCUUAUCUCCAAUUGCCUUUUAUCCAGACCAGCCCUCCUUCCCGGUUGGCAUGGGCACUGCCCUAAGAUGGCAGCUGCUUUGACCCUCCUGCCCAAAAAAAUUCACAUUUGUACCUCUUCCACAGCCAGUCAGCAAACAGAGUAUAAGGAGAGAGGAGACCCCAAAGUGAGGGAUCAGUUGGUAGUAUGGGGAUAACCUGAGAAGGGUUCUGGGGUUUCUAACCUGAGAGCAAGCGCUAUAGGCUUUGUUCUCAUUUGGGGCAGGACUGUUUGUGCAGCACAAGAUCAUGGGCUCAAGGAACAAGGAAGCAGGUGUUUGUGAGAUCACCUGGGAGAAGGGGAGGAAGGGCCCUCUGUGGAGCACACCUUACUGCAGACAUUCGUAUAGUGAGGUGGCUGUUCUGCAAAGCCAAGCCUGUGGGAGCUGGCCAGAAUCUAUCACUGGGAAGUUUGAUUGAUUAGCGCUGUGGGCAGACGGUAAACAAGGGAGAGAAGCAGGACCUCAGCAAUGCCCAAGGAGACCGGAGCUAAGAAUUAUCUGGAUAAGUGUCCAUGUGGACCGUGCCGCCCAGAAAGGAAGUACAACGAGAAGGAAAAUGAAAAGCGGGCCAACACGAGUGACAGUUCCAGGUUGUGACCCAGACUCGGCUCCCAGGGCCUCUCUCUGGUGCGGACGGCGCUCUUCCUCACUGAACAUGGGCCUGGCCCCAACCAUCUCACUGGGAACUGAUCCCCGCGCAAUCUCGCCGUUUCCGUGGCCGAUGCGCUUUGGGUUUCACGCGCUUCCCUCGGCACCAGUUCCUGUGGGUCUCCGCGGACCUCAUCCUGCCGGUCCUUUCUUACACCCCGUGACUGGCCCGGCCCUCCCCAACACGCCCUGAGUCCUACCUCGCGGGCCGCAGAGCCCCACUCUCGGAGGCGAGGUUGCCCUGCCCCCACCGACGCACAAGGAAGGCCCAAAGGCCUCCGCGACCAGAGCGUCACCGCCGCCCCUCCCCCCCAGCCGGGACCGGCCGCCCCUCCCCCGCCCCACAGACAGGGUCCCCGGCAGGAGGAAGUCCUUGUGGCUGAAGGAGUUCGACGUCAUAACCGGACGCUGUUCUAUGGCCUUAAAAAGCUGCCUCCUGCUCUGCUCGGUGCCCACAGCGGCCCUUUCUCACCUCCAUCUUGCCGCCUUUUUUGUAUCCUCGGGGCCCAGCAAAGAGCGCCGCCCAGAGGAAGCGCUUGAGGCAGUCGUUCACCCACCGGAGGAGCCGCUUCACACGCUUUCCCAGGGACCGCGCGCUACGUCGCACGCCUCGCGCCCAGAACGCUUCAGAGACGGACACCCGGACUGACGUGACCGGACAAAGGCGGGCGGCGGAGGAAGGCCCAGGAGGUCCCGGCUCGGCCCCCCAAGCUCCUCCUCCAGAUGUUCAGUGAAUGCAAUCCCCAAUAAAUAAAUGGUCAGAGAAUAUGAACAAGCAGUUUUCAGAAGAAGGAUAACAGUCCUGUGGCAAAAAUGCUGUAAAUCACUAAGAAUUAGAGAAAGCAAAUUAUAUUAUCCUUUAGUUUUCUGCCUCACAACUACCAGACUGGCAGUUGAGAGAAGAGGAAAAUGACAAAUGUUGGAGGAGUUGAGGAAAAACAGGUGAACUGAUGCUGUCUGGGGAGCUGAGAGUUGUUCCAGCCAUUCUAGAUGACAAUUUGGAAAUACGCCCAGAAAGACGUCAACUUGUGCAUCCACCACUUGGUCCAGCUGGGACUACGGCCCCAAGAAAGCAAAGGGAAAGUUUCUCAAAGUGGGUAACUAAGUGGAUACCUCCUUUGUGGAGAAUGGAUAAACAAAUUGUAGAAUAUGAAUGUAAUGGAAUGUCAUUGUGCUACCGAGGAACAGACAGCUUCAAAGAAAACUGCAAAGACCUUUAUAAACUAUUCCAGAGUGAAGUGAGCAGAAUUAAGAAAACAAUUUAUAUAAUAACAAACAUCAAAAAAAUCAAUUUUCAAAAGACCUUAGAUUGGUGACCAACACAAUAAUAAAUAAGGAAUCCAAAUGAAGGUGAAAUGGGUCACUCUCCCAAGAAACAUGACCUAAAAACACAGAAGAGACAACAUUCCUGAACACACAUGGUUAACAUGGGAAUUUGUUUUUUUUGGACCAUGCCCUGAAGGAUUUAACAGGCAUUUUGUUUGUUGCUUUUGUUUUGUUUGUUUGUUUGUUUUGCUCAAUGGGGUAGUGGGAUAGACAAG